CACGUAGUUAGCCGUGGCUUUCUGAUCAGGUACCGUCAAGAUGUGCACAGUUACUUACACAUUUGUUCUUCCCUGAUAACAGAGUUUUACGAUCCGAAGACCUUCAUCACUCACGCGGCGUUGCUCCGUCAGGCUUUCGCCCAUUGCGGAAGAUUCCCUACUGCUGCCUCCCGUAGGAGUCUGGACCGUGUCUCAGUUCCAGUGUGGCCGAUCACCCUCUCAGGUCGGCUACGUAUCGUUGCCUUGGUAAGCCGUUACCUUACCAACUAGCUAAUACGGCGCGGAUCCAUCUAUAAGUGACAGCAAAGCCGCCUUUCACUAUUGAACCAUGCGGUUCAAUAUGUUAUCCGGUAUUAGCUCCGGUUUCCCGAAGUUAUCCCAGUCUUAUAGGUAGGUUAUCCACGUGUUACUCACCCGUCCGCCGCUAACGUCAAAGGAGCAAGCUCCUUAUCUGUUCGCUCGACUUGCAUGUAUUAGGCACGCCGCCAGCGUUCAU
rnacentral:rRNA from 1 species